GCAGGUUGAAGCGCGGGUAAGACCGCGUGGAGGACCGAACCCACCUGGGUUGAAAACCGGGGGGAUGACUUGGGGCUAGGGGUGAAAGGCCAAUCAAAUUCCGUGAUAGCUGGUUCUCUCCGAAAUGCAUUUGGGUGCAGCGUCGGGUCAUUACGUCCCGGGGGUAGAGCUACUGGAUGCUUGCGGGCCCGUAUCGGGUACCAACAGCAACCAAACUCCGAAUACCGGUGACGCGUAUCCCGGCAGUGAGUCGGCGGGGGAUAAGCUCCGUCGUCGAGAGGGAGACAGCCCAGACCGUCGUCUAAGGUCCCGAAGCGUGUGCUAAGUGGGAAAGGAUGUGGAGUCGCAUAGACAGCCAGGAGGUUGGCUCAGAAGCAGCCAUCCUUGAAAGAGUGCGUAACAGCUCACUGGUCUAGUGGUUCCGCGCCGACAAUGUAGCGGGGCUCAAGCACACCACCGAAGACGCGGCAGUAUUUUGUACUGGGUAGGAGAGCGUCCCAUGAGGGGCGAAGCGGCCGUGUGAACGCGCCGUGGACUUCAUGGGAGUGAGAAUGCAGACAUGAGUAGCGAGAGACGGGUGAAGAUCCCGUCCGCUGGAUGACCAAGGGUUCCGGGGCCACGUUCGUCGUCCCCGGGUGAGUCGGGUCCUAAGGCGAGGCCGACAGGCGUAGUCGAAUGGAUGAACGGGUCGAUAUUCCCGUACCGGCUUUCAGCCGCCAAAACCGAGGCUUGGAGUACUAACCUCCGGGUCCGGGCUUACUGCUCCUUCGGGGGCGGGAUGCCCUGGCCUGUUGGGACCGAUCCUUGUAGUAGGUCAGCGCAGGAGUGACGCAGAAGGGUAGCCGGCCGCGGAGGUGGUCUUCCGUGGUCAAGCACGCAGGGCGUGGGACAGGCAAAUCCGUCCCGCAUGGGUCCGAGGUGCGAUGAUGGGGGCCUUAUGGCCCGAUAUCCGGUGAUCCCGGCUGCCGAGAAAAGCUUCGGCGUCAGGCUCAAAGCCGCCCGUACCCCAAACCGACACUGGUGGUCAGGUAGAGAAUACCAAAGCGAUCGAGCGAAUCCUGGUCAAGGAACUCGGCAAAUCACUCCCGUUCCUUCGGUUUAAGGGAGACCCCCGAUGGUGAACACACUUGCUGUGGGAGCUUUUGGGGGUGGCACAGACCAGGGGGUAGCGACUGUUUACCAAAAACACAGGUGCAUGCGAAGGCGAAAGCCGCUGUAUAUGCACUGACGCCUGCCCGGUGCCGGAAGGUUAAGAGGAUCCGUCAGCCUUCGGGUGAAGCGGUGAAUUCAAGCCCCGGUAAACGGCGGUGGUAACUAUAACCAUCCUAAGGUAGCGAAAUUCCUUGUCGGGUAAGUUCCGACCUGCACGAAUGGCGUAACGACUUCCCCACUGUCUCGACCAGGAGCUCGGCGAAAUUGCAGUACGAGUAAAGAUGCUCGUUAAGCGCAGAAGGACGAAAAGACCCCGGGACCUUUACUAUACCUUGGUAUUGGCGUUAGGCGCGGAUUGUGUAGCAUAGGCGGGAGGCUUCGAAGCGUGGGCGCCAGCUCAUGUGGAGCCGCAAGGUGAAAUACCGCUCUGUUCUCGUUUGACGUCUAACCUCGACAAGUCAUCCUUGUCAGGGACAGUGCCUGGCGGGUAGUUCAACUGGGGCGGUUGCCUCCCAAAGAGUAACGGAGGCGCUCAAAGGUCCGCUCAGCCCGGUUGGCAAUCGGGUGUCGAGUGUAAUCGCACAAGCGGGCUUGACUGCGAGGACGACGGUCCGAGCAGGGACGAAAGUCGGAGAUAGUGAUCCGGUGCCGGCGCACGGGCGCGGCAUCGCUCAACGGAUAAAAGGUACCCCGGGGAUAACAGGCUGAUCAUUCCCAAGAGUCCAUAUCGACGGGAUGGUUUGGCACCUCGAUGUCGGCUCGUCGCAUCCUGGGGCUGGAGCAGGUCCCAAGGGUUCGGCUGUUCGCCGAUUAAAGCGGCACGCGAGCUGGGUUCAGAACGUCGUGAGACAGUUUGGUCUCUAUCCUCUGCGCUCGUUGGAAUCCUGAGGAGGCCUGCCCAUAGUACGAGAGGACCUGGGUGGACGAACCUCUGGUAUGCCGGUUGUC
rnacentral:rRNA from 1 species